UGUACAUCUGUUUGCUGUGUGGGACUGAUCACCACCCCUUCCACGUUAGCAGUCAUGGAUCAUUUCUGCUGACAGAAGACAAACUACCUGGUGACCAGGUCAGCCCUAGUUCCUAGGCUUCUGAAUUCCCAGCAACACUGGUGUCAAGCUCCAGAUGGUUACUCAAGAGGUAACUCCCAUUCCCACAAUGGAUAAGGAUAACAUGUAGAAGUCAUGACAUGAAUUCGUAAAAUUUAUGCAGAUGUACAGCCUCCAGCUGCAUCACUUCCACCCUAGAGAGUCCUUGAUGGCCAGCAGUCAUCCCCCCAGAAAUAGCAAUACGAGCUGGGGUUCCUAGCAAAACACCACCACCAGCAACCACGAUCUCCCUUACUUUUGGAGCUCUCUUCUCAGGAAUGGUGAAGAUGUUUGUGCAUCAUUGUAUGGGGACUGUUAAGUCAUGGCCUGAAUCACUGAUGGAGCACCUGGGAAAAGGACACGGUCAGCCCUGGGAGUACAGGUGAAGGCAAUUCAUCUGUGUGACUGGAAGGGGUGGAGCCUGGCUGCACCUCUCUUAGACCUCAUUUAAGGGCAGACUGCCACUGUGGAAGGAUCUCUGGUUGGAGAUCUCUCCCUCGUGGAGUUUUUCCCCUUAGCCUAGUUCUUUGGCAACUGAUGAGCACUUUUAUAACACUAUUCCACCCCUUUGCUGUUAUACUCCUCUAUUGUCUUUCUACUGCGCUAACCUUUUUGAUUCUAACAAUCAUCCUUAAGGCUGAGCUGCACCACUCCUAUAGCUUCACCAAAUAGAUGAAGGUUUCACCUGGGAGGCCAUCAAUGGUCUAUGCCACACAGAAGUACUAGUAAAUGUCUACAAAAGUGACAGCAUCCCAUGAGUUUCCCUGUUAUGGUGAGUGAGAGCACUUCCUACAGGAGGAACUGGGAAGCAUCCAGGCCCUGUCUAGACAGGAGGAAAAGAGGUGAAAGGGGAACACUGAGAGAAGAAAAUGGAAGAAGCAGAAUAAGGCUGAGCUGUACCUGGCUGGAGGGUGCCUUGUAUACGCAUGCACAAGCAGUGGUAAAUGUGAGCUCCUCAUAGCAACCAUCUCUCUCCAGUGCAAGGGGACAGUAAUGGAGUUGGGAGCCUGCUCUCAGUGAGCAUGUAGAUGACUCAGCUUAUUUAUUCAGGCUGGAUUCUCCCAGUUUCUCUGGGAGAAGCCAGGUGUCCUAACAAACUAUUAGCUCAAACAAAUGUGCUUGCUCAGGGUCAUUGCUCAUUUCCAGGUCAGAUGCAGGGAGGCCAAAGACUUGGGAAGAUGCAGAGAAGCCAGGCUGCUUUCCAGUCUGAGCCUGAAAACAAGGGAGGGCAAGAAAAAAAUGAAUGCCGAUUGCUUUCAAACAGUUCAGAUCAUCAGCAAAGGAAAGCUGCUCUUCGACUUUCUGCUGCAGCUUGAAGGACUUAAAGAGGCUCUCCCAGCACCCCCAUCUAAAGUCUGUAGGAGUAGUGAUGAUCCCUAGACAGGAUGCAGCUUCAUAAGAUGAACCCCCCAAACAUUAGACUGCAACUGUAAGGACCUGGCUUCAUCACCAGGCCUUUGGAGUACUGGAGGAGCCCUAUAACGGUGUCAAAUGGAACUUCAACAGUCAGUGGAGGGAAGGUUACUGGUUUUUGCCCUUUAUCAUCUUGUCCCAGUCAGUCUCACGUAACCUUGUCAGAGACACUAAGUACCUCCAGCUGCCAUUCAAGCAUGUCUGCACAUCAGGGCAGCAAUGCUCUUUUCAAAGUGGUUAUUUGACCAGAAGUCAAUAUUAGAGCACAUAAGGAAACAGGGAAAGCAAAUGAUGCCAGCCAAAUGGAGCACUAAGAGAGCAUCAUUUCACAGAGCUCAGUACCUCACUAUGCAUCCAAGUUUUAAAAUGGUACCAAAUACCACCCUAUCAGGACAGCAUGAUUUUAUGCCCUUUGGGUACUACUGAGAAUGAUGAAACAGGAGAAACACAGCUGUGUGGAAGGGUGGAUUGCAGAAAAUAACUGUUUUCUUUUCUCCUCCUUUUUGUCUCUACCUCCCUGUUUCUGUGGGUAGGAGUGAGGACUUGAAGGUCUCUGCUCUUAUCCAUGUGCUAGAUCCUCCUAUGCAGCAUCUCUCCCAGAACAAAGGUCAUCCCCCAAGGAUAAGCGGAACAGCCACAGAUAGAUAACACUUCUGAUCUCCAGCCUUGUGCUGAGAAGAUGAAUUAUCUACCUCUAAGCAUGAUUUCUGUUUCACACUGCAGGCGCAGUUUAGGUGACAAUACAGUAGCAGUUAAGUUAUUCCAUUUGGGAAAAGGAGGGACAGAGAAAAUGCCACACGCAGUAAGUUAUGGCACAUGACCUGCAGCAGCAAGUAUCUGGAACAUUUGUUACUCUGUUCUCAUUCCUUAAGAAGCUCAUACUUCACAACUAAAUCAGUAACAGUGUGUACCAAUUUUAUCUUGUGCCUCGUGUGAAUAACAAUAAAAAUACUAAUAUCUUUUAUUUCCACUGCUUAUCGGCUCCACUGAGGCCAUAUUACAUCCAGGUUCUCUUUGCAGCAUCAUUUGAAUGGCUGUAAGGAGAACAUAAAACUGACAUCCAAGCCAUCUGCUCAUCAGUGUUUCCCCUUCUUUACUCUUCUUUUGCAUAGAAAAAUUAUCCAGCUGUCUAUCUGUACACGUGGAUGUAUGUGAUCUCAAACAUUUAAGGAUUCAUGAUAUUCCUUCUGCUGCCAAAAAGUUCCCGUGCGCAUCACCCGGUUACACAUUAUCCUUCUCUGCAACAGAAAAACUGUGCAUCCUGGGAGAGUUAGAUCAUGGGAUUUAAACUAGUAAGUGCUGAUGCAAGUUAUGUAAAACAUUUAUCUUCUUCUGAUUACAUGUUUUUGGAUUUCAACACAGAAAUCUGCAAUAAAGCAUUCUUAGAUGGUAUUUAGUCCUUUAGCCAAAGCUAGAAUAAACAGGGAU
ensembl:lncRNA